UUCAAAUUGUAGCUUAUAUUACAAAAUAAGAAAAGAUAUGACAACAAAUCAAUGUUAUUAUAUUUUUAGUGUUUUUUAAAAUGUGUCAAUAUAUGAAAAAUGACAUGGUUUUGUUUCAUAGUCAUCAGAUUCGAUUUUGCCUUAUUAAUUUUGAUUUUGAUCAUCAUCCAAUUACAAAAAGUUGAAAAUUUUGUGAUUUUAUAUUCUUAUUUCAAAAAUUACGGGAUUGACCAGAAAUGAACGAAAAGUUAUGAUUUAAAUGAAAAUAAUCCAUAUUCAUAAUUUGUAUGUUUUGGUACUGAAAUACAAAGUAUGUUAGAGUUUACCAGAAAAUUGACUUCUUAGCUUGCUAAUCACUUAUCUUCAUUUUAAAGUAUGAUUGGUGCAAUAUUUUGAUCAUUCACUUUAUUUCAGCCCACCUAUAACUUCAAGCUCUCGCGUCCCAUCAUUUUUAGAAGGGAUUUUCUAAAUUAUUAUGCUAAUUACUGCACUAGUUGGAUAUUAGAUGGAAUAUGUUUAAUUAUUUAUUUGGUACAGCAAUUACAUAAGAAUUAAAUCGUUGUUGCGAGUGGCUAAAAUAUUAAUAUUGGUGACCUUGCAAAAUUUUCACUUCCUCAGCAUAAUCCAAAUUAAAAAUUUGGAAAAUAGUGAGAGAGGACUUGGUCAUGGUUGACCUUGUAUUAUUAAGUCGAGUAGACGAGCUUAAAUUAGGUGAAUAAUGAUUUUAUUUUAUCAUCUUAUAGGUAUUCGAGGAGGACAAAUUGAAAAUAUCAAAAUAUUUACAAUUUUUUGUUAUAUUCAAUAUUUAUGCAUUAAUGUCAUAAGCUCUAAUCUUGGUGUCGAAUAGUCUAUAUUUUGAUGAUUUGAUGGCCCCAAGGAAUUGACUUCCGUAUAUUCAAUAUUUAUUGGAUUGAUGAGAUUAUUGUAAAGACAAAAGUUUGUGUGCAUUCGAAUGUACAGUGGCAUUCAUCCGAUUUUGAUUCUUUAUUCCUAAUCCCAUAACAAGAUUAAGAUUUAAUUAAAAGAGAUAUAUUGUAAGAUUCAUGAAUAAAAUAUUUUUGGUACGUAUUGUCACUUAAUAUAUCCAAUCAAUCAUAAUUAUAGAAAGCACCUUUUUAUUACAAUUAAUUUUUUUCAAUUGUGAUUAGUUGGUUACACUACAUGACAAUAUGUCCGAACCACCUAUUUUUUACUAAGUGAGCUGUGUUUGUAAAUUGCAAUAUGUACUCCCUCCGUUCACUAAUAAUCGUCUUAUUGAUCGACGGGAGAGUAUAAAUUUGGCAAGAUUUUAAUUGUAUGUAGUACGAAAAUAUUGAGGAAACCAACCGAAUAUUACGACAAUGGGGGCUAUUUUAGAAAAAAUACAGCCCAUAUCAUAUUAUUCCGACCCCACCACAAGGUCCGAAACAAAAACGGGCUUAUUAACAUUUCAUAACUUGGGCCAAAUAUUGGGCCGAGGGGCCCAUAGUGGAGUUCAUUAAUCCCAUGAGUCAUGACUAUUAUUUAAACAGAAAGCAACGGUACAAAACAUUCUACAUUAUUCAUUCUUCACAACGAAAGCAGUUCAACCGCGCAACCCAGCGGCCACGCUGCCCCAAUCAACGAGCCCUUCCACAUUCUUCACCACCGUCACCUCCUCAAACGGAUCCAAUCCAAAUCCAUCCACCAGCAAACUAUACUCAUACACCAGAUCCAUACACAGAUACCCCAAAUCCCCCUCCUCAAUCGCCGGAAAAAUUGCCUUCAUACUCUCCACAUCCGCUCUGCACGCGCGCUUCGCCGCCUCUCUGUACGAAAUCGGCCGGAUCCUCGCCGCAUUCGCCGCCGCAUCCACGAUCCCGCUCUGUACGAUCACGAUUAUUACCGAUUCAAUUCCGAAACUGAUUGAUUUUUUUUAACAAUUGGAACACCUGCCUAGGCGGCGGUGUCGUAGAAGUACGAGGCGAUGUAGAGGUUGCUGAGUCCGUCCCCGCCGCCGCCGCUCCUGACGCCGUCGAAGGUGCAGUUGUUCGGGGCACUGCGCGUCGAUUUUGAGUACCUUCCGCGAUAGCGCUCUGCAUCUCCUCAGAUUCGCGCCGGAGCGCGGCGGCUUCGCGGUGUAGACCUCGCCGUUGUAGUCGUGCGUGGAUUCGUAACCGUUGGUGACGCAUGGAUUGCCGCGAGAUCGGCUAAAUUCCACGAAUGUACGUCAUGGGAGCUCUUAUCCGCCAUUUGUACCCGCAAAAAAAAAUUUCCAAUGAAGGGAAAGACGCGAGCGCCUCACGCGUGUUUAAAUGAAACACGCGUCUCCCUCUCGCGUGUAUAAAUGAUACACGCGUUUCCCUCUCGCGUGUAUAAAUGAAAUAAAUUUACCGACAAAGACAAGACAGGGAAAGAGAAGGUAGAUGGAAGAUUAUGCCGACAAGGACAAGAAAUGAGUGCUUGAUGGAUGAUGCAUUGCGUGGAGUUUGGAGAUGGAUGCAUUGUUUCGGCAGCUCAAGAGAAGAGAUUUUAGAGACCAUUUUUGUAAGAGCAUUUGAUGAUUGGGAGAAAAUAUGAUUCAAAUUCGGACAAUCAGCAUAAAUAAACGAGGUUGAUGAACUAAA